UCCUACGGGAGGCAGCAGUGGGGAAUCUUGCACAAUGGGGGAAACCCUGAUGCAGCGAUGCCGCGUGAGUGAAGAAGGCCUUUGGGUUGUAAAACUCUUUCGUCGGGGAAGAAAAUGACUGUACCCGAAUAAGAAGGUCCGGCUAACUUCGUGCCAGCAGCCGCGGUAAUACGAAGGGACCUAGCGUAGUUCGGAAUUACUGGGCUUAAAGAGCUCGUAGGUGGUUAAAAAAGUUGAUGGUGAAAUCCCAAGGCUCAACCUUGGAACUGCCAUCAAAACUUUUUAGCUAGAGUGUGAUAGAGGUAAGUGGAAUUUCUAGUGUAGAGGUGAAAUUCGUAGAUAUUAGAAAGAACACCAAAUGCGAAGGCAACUUACUGGGUCACUACUGACACUGAGGAGCGAAAGCAUGGGUAGCGAAGAGGAUUAGAUACCCUCGUAUCCAUGCCGUAAACGAUGUGUGCUAGACGUUGGAAAUAUAUUUUUCAGUGUCCAGCGAAAGCAUUAACACACCGGCUGUGGAGUACGACCGCGAGGGUAAAAGUCAAGGAAUUGACCG
rnacentral:rRNA from 1 species